rnacentral:lncRNA from 9 species
ACCCACAGCAUAUGGAGCUGCCCAGGCUAGGGGUCGAAUCAGAGUUGUAGCUGCUGGCCUAUGCCAGAGCCACAGCAACACCAGAUCCAAGCCGUGUCUAUGACAUACACCGCAGCUCAUGGCAACACCGGAUUUUAACCCACUGAGCGAGGCCAGGGAUCGAACCUGCCUCCUCAUGGAUGCUAGUCAGAUUCAUUUCCGCUGAGCCACGACAGGAACUCCAUAUUCAUUAUUUCUAAUCUAUACAACUCAGUCAGGUGAUCUGGCUGGACAGUUUCAUAAGAGAACCCAAAUGCUAUUUUUUUCUUGUUGGGCUGAUGUUAUUUCCCAGAGAAGGCUCUGUUACACUAUCUGGAGAGACUUGUCUUGUGUUCUGCAAGCAGCUUUUUAGUCUCCCACUCUUAAUAUGAGCAGAUAGCAAAGAAUUACCAAACAUCUCAAAAAAGGCUGUAAUAUUAAACAGGUGCAAAAAAAAAAAAAAAAAAAGAGGAAAAGCAACUUAGAGGGAAGAGUCUACACAGGCAGAAGAAAAACUAAGAAAGAAAAAAUAAAUAUUAAUAUUCCCAGAGAGAUAAACUUAUUUUGCCUCCAUGAAAUGAGAACAAAAUGAUACUUUUUAAAAAUCAGGAGUUUCCAUUGUAGCUCAGCGGUAACAAGCCCAACUAGUAUUCAUAAGGAUGUGGGUCCGAUCUGUGGCCUCGCUCAGUGGGUUAAGAAUCCAGUGUUGCUGCCAGCUGAGGCUUAGGUCACAGACACGGCUCGGAUCCUCCAUUGCUGUGGCUGGGAAAUUCCACACAUCACACAUUCAGCCCUAAAGAGCAAAAAAUUUAAAACAAUUUUUUUAAUUAAAAAAAUGAGAAUCAAGGGAAUAAAGUAGCUUUUUUAAAAAGUAAAUAUAGAAAUAAAAAUUUGAGGAGUUCCUGUCAUGGCUCAGCAGUAACGAAUUAGAGUAGUAUCCAUGAGGAUUGGGGUUUGAUCCCUGGCCUUGCUCAGUGGGUUAACAAUCUGACAUUGCCAUGAGCUGUGAUGUAGGCUGCAGACAUGGCUCAGAUCUGGGCAUUGCUGUAGUUGUGGGGUAGGCUGGCAGCUACAGCUCCAAUUCGACCUCUAGCCUGGGAACUUCCAUAUGCCUUGGGUGCAACUCUAAAGACAAAAAAAAAAAAAAAAUGGAAAUUUGAAAGGAAAUAGCAAUUUAGAGAACAGCCUAGGCACAGGCCAAUAUCUGAAGAGGCCACAGAUUCUAGCCCACAGAUACCCACCCAGACAUGUCUGUGAAAAGUGAAGAUUCUAAAAGCCUUGGGAAAGGAAAGCAACAUCAGGAAAAUAGGUCAAGGAUCAGAAUAGCACUGGACUUCUGAAUAGCAAAACAGGAUAUAAAUGACAAGAAAUGAAAGGUGGAGGAUGGUAGAAAAUGUCCUAAGAAAAACAGCUACACAAGAGCUUAGGAGACACCAGUGCAUAACUGGAAAAGGUUAGAGUGCUCCGGGAGACAUUUUCUCAAGAAGAUGAAACACCAGCACCAGCACACCUUAUAUGUUUGAAGAUACUAAAAAUAGAGAUGGGAGUUCCCGCUGUGACACAACAAGUUAAUGAUCCGGUUUGUCUCUGUGGAGCUGCAGAUUCGGUCCCUGGGCUGGCACAGCAGGUUAAGGAUCUGACGUUGCUGCAGCUGUGGUAUAGGUCACAGCUCCAGCUUGGAUUCGAUCCCUGGCCUGGUAACUCUCAUAUGCCGUCAGGGUCGCCAAAAAGGAAAAAGAAAGAGUUGGACUGCUGGGGACAAAUUUAGUGGUCAAUGCAUAGAAAGCUAGGCAGAUAGCAAUAAAGACUUAUUAACCAAGAGCACAAGGAAGGGAAACAAUGUGCUAAACAUAAACAGCUCAGCUGUCAAUAGCUUUUACAUCAUCACAAUAAUGGAAAUACCAAAUAACAAUCUAAUGAAAAUUAUAACCAGCUGGGAGGCUAAGAAAACAAGGUGUGUGGAUUGCGUUGGAGACAGGUGUGGCUAUUCUCUUCCAGGGUGGGAAAUCCAAAAAUAAUGGCAAAAACUGGAAAAUAAGAAAGCAGCUAUAUAAAAUAUUAUUUAUAAAUACAGAGAUACACAUCAAAAUAAUUAGUUUCAGGUGUUGAAAACAAUUGACUGGGGAGACAAUUUCUUUUUGUGAGGAAAAGGGGAAAUUAUGGGAUUGCUGGUUUUUAUAACAAGUCUUCUAGAACUACUUUAGUCUUUAAAAUAUAUACAGGCAUUUCCAAUUUAAAAAUAAAUUUUAAAGAUGGAAAAUAAGUCCAUUUUUAUAUAUUUUUAAAAACCCAAAACAUUUUUAUGGAUACAUACAAACAUAAAGUUUGUGUAAUUAAAGUAGAAAAGAUUAAAAAUUAUUGAAUACUUACUAUGUCCUUGGUACUGUUCUAAGUGCUUUACAUAUGUUGACUCAAAUACACACUCUUCACAAUAACCAUUGCGGGCUUCGUGCUGUCAUUAUCCCCCAUCUUACACAUGUACUGAGGUGCAGACAGGUGGAAUAACUUGCAGAAUGUCACACAGCCAAGAAGGGACAUAACUAGAAUUCAAACUUAGUCUGGCUUCAGGACCUAUAUUUCAUUGCCUUCUCAAAUAACACAUUAAAAACACAGAAAGAUAUUCAUCAAAGACAGGAGAGUGGCUCCCUCUAGGGAAGAAAGAAAAAGAUGGGGACUGGGGAAGAGUGGAAAGGGAACUUAAACCUUAUGCAGAAUUUUUUUUCUUUAAAAACAGGAGGAGGAGUUCCUGUUGUGGCACAGUGGAAAUGAUCCAACUAGUAUCCAUGAGGAUGCGGGUUCGAUCCCUGGCCUUGCUCAGUGGGUCAGGAUCGGGCAUCACCGUGAGCUAUGGUAUAGGUCACAGAUGCGGCUCAGAUCCCACGAUGCUGUGGCUGCGGCUUAGGCGGACAGCUGUAGCCCUGAUUCAACCCUAGCCUUGGAACUUCCAUAUGCCUCAGGUAUGGCCCUAAAAAGCAAAAUAAUAAUAAGGAAAACAAUUAUGACAGUUAACAUUUAAUUCAUUUAAUUCUGGAUGGUGGGAACAUGCAUAUUGUAGUAUUCUCUGCAGUAUUCUCUUUUAUUUUGCCUUCUUAUGUGAUAAUUAAAUUUCUUUUCAUGAUAAUUAAAUGGUUAUUUCUUAAAAUAGUACCUAACACUCCGUUGUUUGCUAUCAAUACUACAUACUUACUUCAUCCAGGCAUUGGCCACUACUAGAUAACAUCUUGUUUACUCUUUGCCCACUGAACUGUUAAGCCCAAGAGAACUAGGACCUUGCUGUCCUAUCCUCAGCAAUAACCCCAAUGCCAACUGUAUUUGGCAAGUGGCAGUUGAUCAAAUAAAUUUGUUAAAUAAAUUUUGACCUGUGGUGACAGGGAACUGUUUGUACUUUCCCCUGCAGCUGUCAUGCUAUUUCACUUCUCAGUCUGUGCUUUUGUUGUUCCUUCUGCCUGGAAGGCCUUUCGUAUCCAAUGCCUCAGCUCAGGCAUCAGCUUUCCCAGGAAGGCUUCUUUGCAACUGAGCUCCUCCUCUGUAUGCCUAAGUGCCUUAUGCAGAACUCAACUGUAACCCAUGCCAUACUAUACUGAAACAGUAUGUCUGUGUGUCUGUCUACCCACACAGGGAGUCAAGCACAGUGAUUAAGAGCAUCAACUCUGGAGCCAGACUGCCUGCAUUUGAAUCCUGGCUAUGUGACCUUGGGCAAAUUACUUUAUGUCUCAGUUUCCUGGCCUGUGAAAUGAGGAUAAUAAUAACACUUAUCUCAUAAGAUUAAAAGAGUUUCUAUUUGUAUUUGUAAAAGCCCUUGGCACCUAGUAAAUGUGAUAUAAGCAUAUUACAAUUGUUGAAGACAGACACAAUGUCUUGCCCAUGUUUACAUUCCCCUAAAGUGAUGACUUUUACACUAGUCCAAACAAAAGGAUUAGAGCCCAAGCUAAGUCAGCUGCAAUAAAGACAGAGAAGAGGUGAUGGGUAUGAGACAUGUUUAGAGGAGAAAAAAAGUCAACAGAAUGUACAGCAUGAUUAGAAUGAGGUAUACCAUAAAGAAGAUUAAAAUUUGGGACAGGAUUUGGAUAUUUAAUGGGUAUGGUUUCUAUUCACAAGAUGGGGAAUAUAAGAAAAGCAAAAAAGGAGUUCUCGUCGUGGCGCAGUGGUUAACGAAUCCGACUAGGAACCAUGAGGUUGCGGGUUCGGUCCCUGCCCUUGCUCAGUGGGUCAACGAUCCGGCGUUGCCGUGAGCUGUGGUGUAGGUUGCAGACGCGGCUCGGAUCCCGCGUUGCUGUGGCUCUGGCGCAGGCCAGUGGCUACAGCUCCGAUUAGACCCCUAGCCUGGGAACCUCCAUAUGCCACGGGAGUGGCCCAAAGAAAUAGCAAAAAGGCAAAAAAAAAAAAAAAAAAAAAAAA